UAGGGAAUCUUCGGCAAUGGACGAAAGUCUGACCGAGCAACGCCGCGUGAGUGAAGAAGGUUUUCGGAUCGUAAAACUCUGUUGGUAGAGAANAACGUUGGUGAGAGUGGAAAGCUCAUCAAGUGACGGUAACUACCCAGAAAGGGACGGCUAACUACGUGCC
rnacentral:rRNA from 1 species